rnacentral:lncRNA from 1 species
GGCGAUAGCCAUUCUGUUUUGGCCAAAACAAACCUUCCUUGAUCAUCUCGGAUGCACAUACCUAUUCCAACUUUGUUCUGUUGUUUGGAGAAUGAUGCAUCUAUAUUGCAUUUGUACCGACCAGUUGGAGGUUUUGACCAACAAAUUGCAGUAUUAUGUUGUCGUUGCUGGGAGUGCAAGUUCUUGUGAUUCUGCGCACCUUUCCAAUCUGUAAGCAAGUUGAUAGCACGUGCAUGUACAUGUUGAAA